rnacentral:rRNA from 1 species
AUACGGAGGGUCCGAGCGUUAAUCGGAAUUACUGGGCGUAAAGCGCGCGUAGGCGGAUAUUUAAGUCAGAUGUGAAAUCCCUGGGCUCAACCUAGGAACUGCAUUUGAAACUGGAUAUCUAGAGUAAGGUAGAGGUGAGUGGAAUUUCAGGUGUAGCGGUGAAAUGCGUAGAGAUCUGAAGGAACAUCAGUGGCGAAGGCGACUCACUGGGCCAUUACUGACGCUGAGGUGCGAAAGCGUGGGUAACAAACAGGAUUAGAAACCCCUGUAGUCC